rnacentral:rRNA from 1 species
AUGAAUUGCUUAGCGUGGAACUGUCGGGGUGUGGCCAAUGACCCGACAGUUCGAGAUUUGGUUGGCUUGGUCAGGGCCGCCAAUGCUAAGUUGAUCUUUUUGUGUGAAACUCACCAGAAAGCUAAUAAAGUUUGUCGUCUUCAUGGGAGACUAGGAUUAGGAGGUUUUGCUGGUUAUGACAGUAAAUGCCUUAGUGGUGGCUUGGCACUUUUCUGGUGUGAUCAAAUUCAUGUCGAUAUUAAAGAAAUAAAGGAGAUAUAUAUUGAUGCUUAUAUUCGGUUGGCUGAUGAUGCGCCUUUAUGGCGUCUGACUUGUGUGUAUGGCGAACUCCGAGUUGAGAACCGACAUCUUAUGUGGACUGCGCUGCAAAAUCUGAAAGCUCAAUAG